UACAAAUUCAAAGAAACACAAUAAAUCAAACAUUUAAAAAGAUCCCCCACUCUACAAACCCGAUCCUCCAAUGCAUGUUUUGGCUUGUCAUUAACAACGACAACAUACUAGCAAUAUAAAAUUCACGAUCAAUUCACGUUCAUGUUUUUGUUCACUAAAUGUUCUUUCAAUUGUAGGCACGGAACCCCUCAAAAUAAUGCGAUUCACACUUGGCAUUAUUUUAGUUUUACUUUUUUUUCCAUGAUUUUUUCAAUUUUCGCGAAUUACAGUUCUAAAAAAUUAGAAUAAUAUUUUAAACGAUAGGUACGAACUUCGUAUGCUUUAUAAAUCAAUUUCAACAAGAAAUACUACGUAAUAUAGCUAUUAUUUUCAAUUUUGUAAAAUAUACCAGCUCAAAACUCUUCAUUCAUAUAUUUUUACAUCGACACCCUUUUGGUGCUUGCUACUCCCGCGAAAAUUCAAACUAUCCUAAUGUCUAUUUUUGUAUUUUAAAUAAUUUUAUUCCAUAAAUUCGUACAUAUUCUUUCAAAAUAACAUCCCUAUCUCGAAUCCUAAUUAACAAACUCUAAAAUUUCGUAUACCUUUUUAUAAUCUAUGUAUUCCUGUGACGUAAACUGAACAUAUCCUUCAUUCAUUCUCACAGUUAAACAAAACACUUGAAUCAAGUAGUGUGGUUUGUAUUGUUUGGACAAUUAGUGUACUUUUUGUGUUAAAUAUAAUUAUGAAACCUUUCAGAUCGUGUUUAAUACGACUACAGAAUAGUGGGAAACAUAAUGGAAGGAAGACAAAAUAAGAUGCAACGUACGGGUUUUAGCUACAAUAAUUAGUAAGAUUGAAGACUUCUUGACGAUGUUUAUAAUGUAUCCUAUAAAAUAUUCACUCGCCAGAAUCGUCCAAAGAUCCAGGAGGGACAGAUAUCUACUCCAAACCUGGAAUCUGUUGCAGAAUAUUAAAGAAAAUUAUGGGAAAACAAAUGUGAAUGACGGACAGAUUUAGUAAGAUGAAAGAUUUAAGCCUACGAGCACACUACUAUUUCUCACAUCAAAGGUACAUUGUUAAUUAUGAACAUCAAUAGUAAAUAAAG
rnacentral:lncRNA from 1 species